rnacentral:piRNA from 1 species
UGCUGUAACUGAAACUUGAGUAAACCGUAU